UUAAUAAUAUUCUUAUUAAAAAUACAAUUAUUUUCAUAUUUGGUCCUUUCGUACUAAAAUAUAAUAAUUUUUUAAAGAUAGAAACCAACCUGGCUUACGCCGGUUUGAACUCAGAUCAUGUAAGAAUUUAAAAGUCGAACAGACUUAAAAUUUGAACGGCUACACCCAAAAUUAUAUCUUAAUCCAACAUCGAGGUCGCAAUCUUUUUUAUCGAUAUGAACUCUCCAAAAAAAUUACGCUGUUAUCCCUAAAGUAACUUAAAUUUUUAAUCAUUAUUAAUGGAUCAAUUAUUCAUAAAUUAAUGGUUUUAAAAAUUAAAAGUUUUUUAAAUUUUAAUAUCACCCCAAUAAAAUAUUUUAAUUUAUUAUAAUAAAAAUAAUCUUUACAAUUAAAAUAAACAAAAUAUAAAGAUUUAUAGGGUCUUCUCGUCUUUUAAAUUUAUUUUAGCUUUUUGACUAAAAAAUAAAAUUCUAUAAAAAAUUUAAAUGAAAC
rnacentral:rRNA from 1 species